UGACCACUUUAAUAAGUAAAAGCCAUACGGACAGCUAGGUCAAAUGCCG
rnacentral:sRNA from 1 species